rnacentral:misc_RNA from 1 species
GAGUGGCGCGCACAUAUGUCUCUUAGUAACGCUCGCGCAUGCGCAUUGAUUAAGCCAAAGUGAAUUGUGCAAACGGAGCGAAGUUUUGCGAAUUUCACACGAUAAGCAAUACAAGAAAUUAGCAAAUUUGCGAAACUAUUUACACAUGUGCAUAUUAUUCGGCUGCAACUUUUAACUAACCGUACAAAACGACUUGCCAGAGUUGAGCAGAGCGCGCGCAUGCGUUGGCCGAAGUGUUGCAAGAUCAAGCGCCGAUCACUAUCAGACAAAGGAAGAACUGACCGACAAAGAAAUGCUGAAAAUUUGCAAAAUAAAUGCCUGUCCGAAUGGCACACUGGGUCUACACUUAAGUCGAGCGCCCUGGGAUCCCUACCCGUGGGUGAGUGGCAUACAGGAGGGCUCCAGCGCGGAAGAAGCCGGCAUGCGCGUCGGCGAUACAGUGCUGGAGUUCAAUGGCAACGAUGUGCUGGGACAGAAAAUUUUCGAAAUUGCAAGUAGAAUACGGGAACAUUGGCAGAGUGGUGCAACCGAUGUAAGUGUGGUGAUUUGGCGCAACCAAACGGAGGAAGACAGCAGCUGCAGUGAGGACAAUGAUGAUGAUUAUGAAGAAGCGAAUGUAACGAACAGUAGUGAUAGUGAAACGAUGGCAUCACAGGUGGAGGGCCAACGAAAGCGUGUGCAGCGGGCGCAUCAGCAGCAUUCCAGCAUUAAUCAGCAGUCACUGCAGAAGUUCGCCACAUGCCUGCAACACAUUGCCCAAUUAUUGGAGUGUCCUGUUUGCCUUGAGGUGAUUCGGCCACCUGGUUGGCAGUGCUGUAACGGACAUGUGUUGUGCAACAACUGCCGCAGUCGUUCGGUCAAAUGUCCGGUGUGUCGUGUGCCGUUAGGGCCCAGAGGACGCUGCCUGCUCGCGGAUAAAUUAUUCACCGUGUUGGCUGAGAGUUUUCCCUGUGAUGGCGUUCGAAACAGUCGAAAUUCCACAAAGGAGAAGCGCAAAUGUUCACCUGAAUCCAAGGGGCGUCCCAAGGCGACCACGACAGCAAGAAUUCAGCAAAAUGAAAGCGAUCAGCAACACCCACAUCACCAACACCAACAACAACAGCAACAAAUCAAAUCCAAAGAAAUGCAACAGCAAGAUAAGAAGAAGGUCAAAACUGCUAUUGGUAGCCAAAAGAAUGUGUCGAAUGGAAAAGUUGCUGCCAAGGAAUGCACAGCAACACCAAAUGCGCACACCGAGGCAGCACAACAAGUGAACACCACGACUGACAAUUACAAAAGCAACAACAAAAAGCUAGAGGAGGCUGCAGGAGCUGAGGACGGCAGUUCAACGCAACGCAGUCACUGGCAAUGGCGGCGGAGUCGGGCGCGACUUGGAAAAGAACAGCAUCAACAACAACAACUGCAGGCGAGUGAAGCAUCACAGCAAGUUUAUAAAAGUUACGCAGAUGAGCAAUUGUCCAUCACAGCGUCCAGGGCGACGACAGCGUUGAGGAGGGUCCCACCAACGACAACGACGACGACAAAUGUCAGCUGUUGAAGAGCACAGUCCUAUAACUUAAGAGAACUAGCGCGGGGUUAAGGAGAUAGGGGGGUACUUGCGAUGCAUUUUGUGUAACCAACUGUAGGUUGGACUGCUCGCGUGGUCGGAUGAGGGGCGUUGAAAGUAUUGCUGGGCGGUUGCAUGUGUGUGGCGUUGUGACGGAAGGAAAUGCGCUGGUCAACAAUGCGCUCGUUAAACCCAAGUUGGAGUCAAGUAAGAAAUCAGCAGAUAACACAAAACAAGGUAGAAAAGUCACGAAAUCUUCAACAAAAAACGAGCAUCAGCCUGAGGGUACGAAAGUAACAAUUUAAGUCGAAAACUAAAAGUAGAAAUAAAUAAAGUAAACAAAAAAAAAAAAAAAAAAAAAAAAAAAAAAAAAAAAAAAAAAAAAAAAAAAAAAAAAAAAAAAAAAAAAAUGCAGAGCUGUUGCAGUUGCAAUGAUGAAGUUGCAAACAGCUACAACAACAACAACUAUAAGUUCUACAACUAAAAUAAAACAACACUUAUAAUGCCCAGAUUAGCAGUUGUUGGCAUUAGGCGAGCCGAGUUGAGCCGAGCCGCGUGUGGCACGCCGUUGUGUUUUGCCGCUGGCAGCUACUGCUGGGGAUUAGCAACAAUAUCAAAAUUAUCAUUGUCCAACUGGGAAAUCAUGUGGCAUUUGGAACGUGCAACAUUCAGCACAUUGAAGUGUGGUGAGAAAGCGAACAAAACAAUGAGUGGCGCUGUGCUGGCAAUGCAACAACAAUAAUGUUUGCAACAAAUUACUGCAAAUAACAGUGUGUAACGAUGGCACCACCAACAACAACAGUAAGCUGAGACAACACAAUAUGUAGUAAGGCAACAAUCAAGUUGUUUACAAAGAAAUGAGGCAACAAAAUUUGAGCUUGCCUUCAAUGAUACUAUUUACCAAAAUUCGGAAACUCAAGGCACUCAAAAAAAUGUUUAACAUUAACAAAACAUGUCAUGUAACUGGCUAGGAACUGGUUUUUUUUCGUACAUGUUUGUAACUAGUCUUAUUUUGAAGAAAUUUUGCUAAUUGACGCGGUAGUUAGAAACAAAAAUUAUA